rnacentral:rRNA from 1 species
CAAACCAAAGCUGGCGACCGGCGCACGGGUGAGUAACACGUAUCCAACCUGCCUCAUACUCGGGGAUAGCCUUUCGAAAGAAAGAUUAAUAUCCGAUAGCAUAUAUUUCCCACAUGGGUUUUAUAUUAAAGAAAUUCGGUAUGAGAUGGGGAUGCGUUCCAUUAGUUUGUUGGGGGGGUAACGGCCCACCAAGACUACGAUGGAUAGGGGUUCUGAGAGGAAGGUCCCCCACAUUGGAACUGAGACACGGUCCAA